GUGCCAGCCGCCGCGGUAAUACGUAGGGUGCAAGCGUUGUCCGGAAUUAUUGGGCGUAAAGAGCUCGUAGGCGGCUUGUCACGUCGGAUGUGAAAAUCCAGGGCUCAACCCUGGACCUGCAUUCGAUACGGGCAGGCUAGAAUUCGGUAGGGGAGACUGGAAUUCCUGGUGUAGCGGUGAAAUGCGCAGAUAUCAGGAGGAACACCGGUGGCGAAGGCGGGUCUCUGGGCCGAUAUUGACGCUGAGGAGCGAAAGCGUGGGGAGCGAACAGGAUUAGAUACCCUCGUAGUCC
rnacentral:rRNA from 1 species